GAUUUCUGGUUUGGCGCGCCUGGCCCGCCACGGUUACGUGUGUGAGUGCCGGGACGCGCCUGCCAUCCUUCUAGUGAACUAUUCUGCCCUUCAUUGGGUGGGAUAGGUAGCUAGAUCUUUUACUUUGAAAAAAUUAGAGUGUUUAAAGCAGGCGUUUGCUCUGAAUACAUUAGCAUGGAAUAAUAAUCUAGGACUUCGGUUCUAUUUUGUUGGUUUCUAUAACUGAAGUAAUGAUUGAUAGGGAUAGUUGGGGGUGCUAGUAUUGGCCGGUCAGAGGUGAAAUUCUUGGAUUCGGUCAAGACUAACUUAUGCGAAAGCAUU
rnacentral:rRNA from 1 species